GGUGUGUGGAGCUGUUCAUCGCACGAGAGCUGGGAAAGCAUUGUUCCGGACUCCUUAGGGAUGCUGUAUGCAAGACUAUACCUUAGCAAAAUCACCUCCUCCUUCCAACCGACACCCACUCAGACCAACACCAGCAUCUCAGGUAAUAACACUGUGUGUGGGCAGGCGAGGGGGCGGGCCCCAGUCCUCUGCGUGUGUUCACUUACACUGUUGCUAUGCCGACACACAGCUUCCUCUAUGCUAGCACUGGCCUGGCCCCUGAAUCCUCCCUGUGGGUUCCCGCUGAGCAGAGUCUGUUUAAUGUUCACUGGAUGGCCCAGGGGACAGUUCUUCCUAGAUGCCUUCACAUGGGAAAUGAAAUACGUGGCCCACACUGCCACCCCCACAGGGGCUGUCUGCUUCAUUCUGGAUCUCUGGCUCAAGACUGGGACAGUCCUGGGAUGCUAAACAAGGCUGGCACCCACGGGUCUCAGUGCUGGCAUGGUCUUCAGGGUUCUGGGACGCCCACUGGUCACCCCCACCCCUGCACAGUCCGGCAUCACUGGAGGAAGAAGCGUGGAUUGGCAGAUCCAUCUGCUUCCUGCUUAACUCUGACCAUAACACACACACACACACACACACACACACACACACACACACACACACAGUAGAUCUCUGUGAUUUAACUCAGAUCACAGAGGAGGAGGCACCUUCCUCGUGGAGGUGCCUCCAGACACAAGGAAUAAAUGUCACCAGCCCAGGAUCCUGCAACUGCUCUCUGGGUUUGGACCAGUGGGGGGUCCUGGGCAUGAUCCAGUGCCAAGGACCAGAGAAAGAGGUGACUCUGAGUCUCAUGCCCAAGCGAGGGACACGGGGUCAGGGGAGGGCCGGACUGCUCUGUCUACUGUUCUCAUGGGACAGCUAAGGUCAUACCUGCCCAGCUUCCUGGUCUCUGGAAGUCAGCACCGACUCCCUCAUAGCAGAUAUUGUGCCCAGCCUCAGGCAGAGGUCAAGGCAGGCUGUUUCACCUUGUAUUGCCUUGUUUUUUGUAAGCGCCCAAGGGGCCUUCUCUUCCCACCCAUUACCCUGCGCUCAUGUUGGGUGCAGAACUGUCUGCAGGGAUAGAGGACCCUCUGCACAUCCGGGACACAAAUCUUCAUCAGCACUGCCCCUCGGCUGAGUUCAAGGCGGAACAGUAACUGCCCCGGGAUCCUGUGGAAGCUGAGUCACAGGACUUCCAAGGAGGACUGAAGAAGCAGAACAAGAGACCGCAGCUUGUGAGGAUUAAACAGCAAGUUCCUCCUUUCUCUCCAUGCCGCAGGCCUACCCAGUCUUCCCUGAAAGCACACGCAGCUAGCCGCAGCUCCUGGGUCUUCAAUUCCCAGCCACCUUUUAAGUUUGACUUCCAGUCUGCGGUCUGCAGCACCUGAAGGGCUGGCAGUGCCAUCUUCUGAGAAAAGACAUUUCACAACACCUGGUCUGUAGUGAGGUCCCUGGAUGCGGAUGCCACAUGGCACAUGUGGUCUUCAGGAGGGAAAUGCAAAGACUGCACUGGGGCUUAAGGACCAAGGAGCUAGCUCCAGCCAUCUUGGCUGUUCCCAUCUCUGCCUGCGGACCAGGAAGCCGAGCGGCAGCCCACACUCUUCCCCUGGAAUCCUUACCGCUGAGAUGAGAAAUGCAGACUCCUGCUAAUGUGGAGUCUUCCUGGCCGUGUCAGACCGGCUCUGCCCUCUCAUCCCUCAUCCACUUGGCCCACGCUUCAGCCCGAGGACCACAGUUCCUCCUGGAGUCACAUCUCACUCUGACACUCUCUGUGGUAUCCCUCCUCAUACCUUCCUCGUGAACUCUGCUUAUCUUGAUGGGGGUGGCGAUGAGGCCCCGUGGUUUGAUUUUUAUAGCCCUGCAGACCAGGAAGACAGGGCUGACUCAGGGCUGACACAGCGCUUGGCCAUUACAAGGCCAGCUCUGACCUGGGUAUGGCUUUACCAUGCCUGCUGAGGACUAGGCAGAAAGGAGUCACCAGAGCGCUUGACACUGUCCCAUGGCCGGACACACUGCGGGGGUCUGCUCUACGGUACCCGCACUUGGCAGGUGCAGAACAGUAUGUUCUAGAUGCUGGAUGAAGGGUCACAUGGCAUUGGUUCAGUUCUGUGAUCCUGGCCGUGGAUCCCUUAAGUCUGAUGCUCUGUUUGAAAACAGGAACACAGGCCCGGGACCUGUUCCUUCCCUUCCUGCAGAACCGUUUCUGAGCAUGCCCCGGAGGUCACAGGGGUGCCAGGACGGAUGUGUGGAGCCUGGGUCUGUGCCGCUGUGUUACUUAUCACAGAAGAGCGUGGCUGAAGACCACUGUGGCGCGGCUCUAUCCCUGUCCUGGCUGUUCAUCCUGGCUGUCCCUUUAUCCCUCGUUCCUUCUGUCCAUCCAAGUUUAGUAUAAAGCAAGGAGAGCAGAGAUUCUCCAGUGAUGAAGCCAGAGCUGUGCUCGUGGCUCUAGGAAAAACGGCUGGGGAGUUAGCAUCCGAACCCCAGAAACGUCAGCCUGCUCAUGGGCGCAGAUUGCUUUAGACCUGCAUCAGCUCUUUGAGACUAGACACACACACACACACACACACACACACACACACACACACACACACACUCAAAGGCAAGAAAGAAAGCUAAAUACAGCUGAGAAAGAGAAAAGAUGGCAAGGUUCUGGAGAGACUCUCAGGGAGUAAGACCACUCUUGCAGAAGACCCAUGCUUGGCUCCCAAGUUCCCAUGUUAGGUAGCUCACAGGGAGCCUAUAACUUCAGCCAUGGAGGAUCUGAUGCCCUCUUCUGGCCUCUGUAAGCACUGGUACUCACGUGUAUACACGCACACACGCACGCCCGCACAUAAACACAGAAAUAACAUGUGGAGAAUACAGUUCCUCCCUAUGUGACAAUCAGUAUAAGAACUGCCCUCAUGCCUUGUGUUGUCUGGGAGGCAUUCUGACCCAGGCUGCCAGGUUAUAGACCCCAAACCCAGGACACGCUGACCUCCGAGCCCUCUCAUUCAGUCCCACGUAGCUGUGAUGAUGCCUCGCCCUCAGAGCCUCCCUCCUAAUGGCUCUCCACCCUGCAUCUCCCAAGCUCAGCCACAGGCUCCCAGUCUGUGCAGGAAGGCAGCCCCCUCCAGCAGCAGCACCCCCAUCCCAGCUGGGGGAACACAGGUUGAGAUCCCGGGCUGCACCCACAUCUCAGCUGUGGCUGCCCACAAAACAGGAACAGCAUGAAUCUCAUUUCCCCAGAAAAGCAGGUUUUGCUUCUCUAUAAAUGUGCCUAGUUAUUUUGGGGCUAAAAAUGGCACCGAGGGGACUGGUACACAGAUUCCAAUGCUCUACUCCUGAGACUCGGAAGCCUCCAGCACUGAGCCUCUCUAGAGCAUGUGGCAUAAUAAAGGGAGCAUUACCUUAGCUUGGUGGCCUUCUGGGGAAGGCUGCACAGAGCACCCCCAGCACUUUGGGUUUUAGUUUACUAGUAUUAAUAGCAGUAACAGUGAUGAGGAGGACGAUAUAGUGCUGCCAUUUGGGGAAAGACAUCUUAAGGGAGUGUUAGUAUGUCCCAGUAUAAAAAUGACCGCUACACUACACUGGCUCUUGUGUGUGUCUUUUAGCACGAGUGCCACCUGUGUGCCGUGCUUUAUGUGGGCAUUUCCCUUCACCAACAAAGCACCCCUGACUUAGAGGCCCAGAAGAGCAUCGGGUGACACGCAGCUGGGCUAUUUUAGACAAAGAAACAGGCAGGUGACAACUGCUGCUCAUAAGAUCUGCCCUGUGGGGCAUGUCUACACAGGUUUUGGAACUUUCUAGGAACGUGAUUUCCAAAGUGAUGUCACUGGUACCAGUGAGGGCUGCAACAAAAUUCCAGGAGUUGCUGUGGUACUGGGACUUGGUAGGUCGCACUCUGUGCUUGAAGGACAGGUUCUUACAACAAAGGUAACCGAAGUUACCAGGAGACUACAGGGGUAGGGUGGGGUGGGGUGGGUGAAGGGGUGGGUGCUUGUCCAGGUUUCCUUCUGCCUCUCCUGUGGCUAGCUGGCAGGAUGCUGGGAACACAGAGAAGCCACUUCAUGCGAGAAUCAGGAAAACGGAUGCAGAUGAAGCCCAGCACUUGGAUGGAGGCAGCAGGAUUUUCAGUUGAGGUUCAGUCUCAGAGUGAGGGAAACUGUCUCAUUGCUGUCCCAGGAAGCUUUGAACCUGCGGCUGCCCAGGAAACCUAGUGCCACCUGUGCCUUUGCCCGGAUGGAAACAUCCUGCAUCACCUCCUGACACCUGAACUGCCCUACGGAGCCUGCGGGCCUGAGGCAGCGUCUGCACCUAUGAGCGCCAUGUCAGACACACACUCUGGUUUGCGGCUUUGGCAGCGGGAGCAUGGUUAGACGGGGGGGAUGCUGAACACGCAUGGGGCCCUGGAUUCUACUCCCAGCAGGAAAACCUCCCCGGGUUCUCUGCAUCACUCUCUCCUUGAGGGAACAGCACAUGCCACCAAUGCAUGUCCUGAAACAGGUGUCGGAACAACGUCUAAAAGUGUGAUGUGUGAACUCUUAGCAGAACGGCCUGAAGUCCUGCUCUGGUAAGGUGGUAAACCCCACCAUAGAUGGCCUACCAAUGUUUUCUGAGGCCAGUGGUGAUGGCAGUUUGACACUGAAGUCCUGGAGAUUGCUGAGCGGUCAUUCGAAACUACCCCACCCCCAAAGGAUGAAAACAGAAACAAACCAAUGUGUCCUGAGCCUACAUAGGGAUGGGCUGGGUGAGAGAAGGCUUAAGACAGAUG
rnacentral:sRNA from 1 species